GUGGUGAAAAGAACAUUGCGCGCGUAGAAUAAGAAAAACUUAUUAUAAAGAUAAUAACGGAAAACACAAACAAGGAGAUGUGACCUAGUGUUUGAAUGUGAGCAUGUAUAUGCUAAGGAGUGUUGUAUUAAUUUUGUGGGUAUAUGCAUGAUACAAUGGAAUGCCAAAAGAUGAUCUACAGAUGUAUGUAUGUGGUAUACACAAACCUGCCGUCGAGUGUCUAGUGUGAAUGAAUAGUUUCUCUUUUGCAUCUAAUAAGGUGUUAAUUUAAUUGUUAAAACAACUUCAGUUUCAACAGGUGACUAAAUACGUGACCGGUAAUUUAUGAUUUUGUCUGCAUUCGAAGAUCCACUGCUAUAGGACUUGAGAAGUUUCGGAGUUGUAAAAGUGCGUCGUCAGUAAAGCACUAUUUUGGAAAACCUGAACCUGUCAAUGGACAUACAUACUAUAUUUGAAGAUUUUAUUCAACAAAAAUAUUGUUCUCUGAAGUAAAUAAAAAGUAAAUAAGAAAUGGGUGCAAUUCUAUAUUCUUCAGCUUAGUUAUGAUAUAAUUUUCUGAAAAAUGAAGGAAAUAAACAAGGAAGUGAAUAAAUAUUGAUUGUAGUGGUAUAGUU